rnacentral:rRNA from 1 species
GGAUUAGAUACCCUGGUAGUCCACGCCGUAAACGAUGUCUACUAGUUGUCGGUUGUCUUGUACGACGGGUAACGCAGCUAACGCGAUAAGUAGACCGCCUGGGGAGUACGGCCGCAAGGUUAAAACUCAAAUGAAUUGACGGGGGCCCGCACAAGCGGUGGAGCAUGUGGUUUAAUUCGAAGCAACGCGAAGAACCUUACCUGGCCUUGACAUCCUGCGAACUCUCUAGAGAUAGAUUGGUGCCUUCGGGAACGCAGAGACAGGUGCUGCAUGGCUGUCGUCCUCGUACUGCUG